rnacentral:lncRNA from 12 species
CUUUUUGCCUGAUUGGAUUCCCAGCUUCUGGCUUUAAGUAAAACCCAGCCAUCUCCAAACUUCUAAGUGCAGCUGCUCAUCCUGCCACACCACGAAGACCUGGAAUCCAGAGAUGGACCUGGGUCCCUCUCGCUAGCAGGCAUGCUGAACCACUAAGCAAAUAGAAGAUCUCCAAUAAAUGUUGCAUCAGAAUAAAUGUCGCAACCUAAAAACCAAAACCAUUCAUCCAUUCUGAGGGAAUCCAUCAGCUUCCAUGCCUUCUGUCUACAGGAAGUAUGGCCCUCCUGUUUCAAGCCAGACAUGCCCUCAGAUAUUCUGCUGGGGCUGCGUGAACCACAGUCAGCAUUCCCAAUUAUUGGAUCUAAUCAGUUCAGCAGCAGCUGUCAAGGACUCGCUCUUCAGCUUCUCAGAAGUCAGGCAAGCCACAAGGAUUUAUUCAGUCCAAGUGAUCUGCACCAUCCUAGGGACUUGGUGGGCAGUGAGAGAGUAGAAUCCAUAGCCCCUCAUUCGCUCGUUCAACAAAUGUUUAUUGAAUACCACCUCUGUUCAAAGCAUUUGGAAUACAUUAACAAAAAACAACAACAACAACAAAACAAAACCAAAAACCUUAGGAAAAAAAAAAUCCCUGCCCUCCUGAGAACAUUCUAUUUGGAAGAGGCAUAUAAAAACCAAUAAAUCUAAUGAAUAAAUUAUAUAAUAUAUAUGAGGAUGCUAUGGAA